GACGAACGCUGGCGGCGUGCUUAACACAUGCAAGUCGAACGGAAAGGCCCUGCUUUUGUGGGGUGCUCGAGUGGCGAACGGGUGAGUAACACGUGAGUAACCUGCCCUUGACUUUGGGAUAACUUCAGGAAACUGGGGCUAAUACCGGAUAGGAGCUCCCGCUGCAUGGUGGGGGUUGGAAAGUUUCGGCGGUUGGGGAUGGACUCGCGGCUUAUCAGCUUGUUGGUGGGGUAGUGGCUUACCAAGGCUUUGACGGGUAGCCGGCCUGAGAGGGUGACCGGCCACAUUGGGACUGAGAUACGGCCCAGACUCCUACGGGAGGCAGCAGUGGGGAAUAUUGCACAAUGGGCGGAAGCCUGAUGCAGCCACGCCGCGUGCGGGAUGACGGCCUUCGGGUUGUAAACCGCUUUCGCCUGUGACGAAGCGUGAGUGACGGUAAUGGGUAAAGAAGCACCGGCUAACUACGUG
rnacentral:rRNA from 1 species